CAAAGGUCAUUUUUAACCAACCAAUCGCGAGCUACGAUUGCUCGUCCACGUGACAUCGACGCGAUCUUAUUACAUAUAUUUGUCUUUUCUUGAUACUAAUCGACCCCAGUUUCUCUAUUCUUUAUUUUAAGUCAUUCAAUUUUUCAACAAGACGUUACAAUCUCAUUUCGGACGAAAGUGAACAUAUAUAUAUAUAUAUAGGUAGAGAGAGAGAGAAAGAGAGAAAGAGAAAGAGAAAGAGAAAGAGAAAAAAGAAGAAGAAAUUAAAUCAUCUUCGAUACAUUCUUGGAAAUAGGUUAAGUUAAGUUUGUAUUGAACGUUUACAUUAUAUUCCCACAAGAUACAAGUCACGUGAUGUCUCGAAAGUUUUCCGCUUGGAUGUUCUGUCGAAAGGAACUACGAGAUCGUUAAGAAAGAUUCGUCUUUAGGAAAGUUGUCUUGGUUCGACUUUUAAAGGAGACUUCAAUUCCACGAACUAUUUCGAUAAACAGAGAAAAAAGAGAGAGAAAAAGAGAGAGAGAGAGAGAGAGAGAGAGAGAGAGAGAG